GUGUCAGCAGCCGCGGUAAUACGUAGGGUGCGAGCGUUGUCCGGAAUUAUUGGGCGUAAAGAGCUCGUAGGCGGUUUGUCACGUCUGCUGUGAAAUCCCGAGGCUCAACCUCGGGCCUGCAGUGGGUACGGGCAGACUGGAGUGCGGUAGGGGAGAAUGGAAUUCCUGGUGUAGCGGUGGAAUGCGCAGAUAUCAGGAGGAACACCGAUGGCGAAGGCAGUUCUCUGGGCCGUAACUGACGCUGAGGAGCGAAAGCGUGGGGAGCGAACAGGAUUAGAUACCCUGGUAGUCC
rnacentral:rRNA from 1 species